UAUCGAAUGAGUUCUUCCUUCCUUCGUUAUAGAAGAACAAAUUGUUGUGGUACCAGCAAGGUAUAUGCAACUUCUGUCCUUCUAUGCAAAGAGGAAGAAAAGAAAGAAAUGUGCAUAAUGAUGAAGAGUUUCUCAUCAUUUAAUGGCUUGCUGAUAGGAGCCU